UAUUUUGGUAUAAGGAUGACCACUGAGGGCUGCGAGCAGCUGACUCACUACCCAGUGGAGAGGAUCUGCUGAGAUCAGAGUCGGGCCAAGGCAAACAGCAAGCCUGCUGCACUCCCCUCCACAUUGCUGACACCGAGCACCACUGCUUUCUCUUCCUUCCCCCGAGACACCCUGCAAAAAUGGGAGAAUGUUGACAGCCCAAGGAUUCAAAGAUGGGAGGAGAGAGAUCAUGAAGUGAAGUCACUAAUGGGAGAAACCAUCACAAAAUCCUGGAGACAUGGGGCUUUUCCAGAGAAUUUUGAGGCGGCAACGUCACCCGAAAACUGAAACGCAUAGUUGAAAUUUAACAAACUGCAACGAAUGAUCCAAGAGAGCAGAAACCACGGCCAGCUCACACUGAGCAGGGGCAGUCCACCCACACUUAUUCCCAGUGAUUCAGGAAUUUAGGGAGCAGAGCCAAGAACAAAGCAGGACAUUGAAAAGAGCAUGUAGCAAGCACCCCCAAGAUUGGCCUUUCUCCUGUGGAACUCAAUCAAUGUUCAGCCACCCCUUAGUCACAAAGACACAGGGAAAAUGAAGUCAGAAAACAAAAAAACGUUUCAGAGUAGUAGUUGAGGGAAAGGAAAGAAAGCUGAAUCAUGUCACACUGGAAGCGACUGCAAAGGGGAAAACCAUGGGCCAAAAUGCCGGGGAGGCCAAUUUCCUCUAUCAGUGUCCAUUGAGAGGGGGAAGGGAGGGAAACGCAGAUUUCCCAGCAGCGUGGCAGGUCUUGGCACCCGCCUCAGUUCCCCUGCCGAACUUCCACAAAUAAACAUGUGGAGCUGAAGGGACAGAUUUGCUUCUCAGCAAGAUUUCAAAGCUGUGCACCAGGAGUCAGGGAGAAAACAGGAAGGAUUGAAGGGGGAGGAGGAGGAGGGGGAGGGACACACACGCCUUGGGCCAGAUCAGAUGGGAAACAGCCCAACCCCUCACCCGAAACUGACACACCGUUUUUUAUGAGGUGCAAGACGUUUCAGGUAGCCUCGGCAGUCUCAGUACCUCGGCCCAGGUCUGAGCUGCUGGGUUUCAAGCUGGGGGCGUUAGGUCUGAAAAGGCCACAGGUGAAGGCAAGCUCUUUCAAACCAUCUCAACCCAGGUGAAAGCAAGAGGGGCUAAUUCUUCUUGGAGUAAAUCCAGUCAGCUGGCUGCUGUUUUUUUCCCAGUCUGCCUAGGUUACUGGGCAGAGAGAGAGAGAGAGAGGAGUGUGUGUGUGUGUGUGUGUGUGUGUGUGUGUGUGUGUGUACGCGAGCGUACAUCUGGGGAUGGGUGGGGUGGAGGAAGGCGUGGGUACUGCACUUGGAUUAUUUGAGGAUGACAACACUCACUUCUGAUCUCCAAGGGGCUGAGGAAAAACACAGCUGGCCCCAGUUGGUGCUGAGUCCCCAGCCCCCUUCUCCUAGUUUUCUUGGCUGUAUGGCCGGUUUGGAGGUUAAACUUCCACCCACACGCCCAGGUCCUGACACAACAGGGGUAGGUGUCAUGCAGUGGUUUAGUGAGUUGGCCCCUCUCUCUUUGUUAGUGAGCACCAAUUUGGCACUUACUGAAAGCUUAUUUAUACACUGAUACACAUGUGCCUGAAAAACAGCCCAGGAGAACGGAAGACGCAUUCCCCGCACAGGACCUAAGCUUGGCUGCUUGCCAACCAGCUGCAACAACAGCCCUGUCCCAGGGAGGCCUCUGCCCUGGCCUCAGAGCAGCCGUGCCUGGCCCAUGCCCCUCUGAGAGGGUUGGAGGGUCUGCCCUGAGCUUUUCUGUGCCUGUUUCAUCACUGUUUUUCUAAAAACAUUGAUAGGGUCCACAACUCUCAACCCUGGCUGGAAUGAGAAUGUCUGGGAAGCUUUUAAAAAUGCUAAAAGAGAGCUUCCCUAGGGGCUCAGUGGUAAAGAAUCUGCUGGCCAAAUGCAGAAGACACGUGUUCAGUCCCUGAUCCAGAAAGAUCCCACAUGCUGCAUAACAACUAAACCUGUGUGCACAUCUAUUGAGCCUGUGCUCUAGAGCCUGGGCGCCUCUUCUACUGAACCCACAUGCCGCCACCACUGAAGCCCGAGCUCCCUAAAGCCAGUGCUCCGAAGCAAAAGAAGCCAUCACAAUGAGAAGCCU